GCCUCCUGCAGCGACGAUGGUGAUCAAAGAAAUUGAGCCCGUUGUUCUACUACGCUACUGCACUCCAUGAGCACAUGCUGCGGUGUUUCCUCUGCCUCCAUGCACCCCCUGCACAGUGGGCUGUCUGUAACACCUAUGUUGUGUAGAUGCUUGUUUAGCAUACAGUGUCCGGUUAUGACACUCGUAGCACCGUAAUAACGCUAGAGGCAGCUCGCCUGCGGCUGGUGAGCGUUCGAUCGUGUCGCCGCCCAUGUGCACUGAGAUUAUUUGGUAUGGAGUAAAAACAAGUGUUAUUCUAAAACUCAGUAUGCCGAGUAGUGUCGUAGUGACGCUAACGGGAGUUCGCCCGCUGUUGCAGCGCGCUCGGUCGUGUCGCCGCCCAUGUGCACUGAGAUUAUGUGCAUGGCCAGCGUCUAUGGAGUAGGAAAAAAAUAAGGUGUUAUUCUAAAACUCAGUAUGCCGAGUAGCGCCGCAGUAAAGCUAACGGGAGCUCGCCGGCCGCUGCAGCGCGCUCGGUCGUGUCGCCGCCCAUGUGCACUGAGAUUAUGUGUUUGGCCAGCGUCUA